rnacentral:rRNA from 1 species
CCUACGGGAGGCAGCAGUGGGGAAUAUUGCACAAUGGGGGAAACCCUGAUGCAGCGACGCCGCGUGAGUGAAGAAGUCUUUCGGUAUGUAAAGCUCUAUCAGCAGGGGAGAAAAAGACGGUACGUGAUUAAGAAGCCCCGGCUACCUAGGUGCAAGCAGCCGCGGUAAUACGGAGGGAGCCAGCGUUAUCCGGAUUUACUGGGUGUAAAGGGAGCGUAGACGGCUGCACAAGUCUGGAGUGAAAUGCCGGGGGUUACACCCGGAACUGCUUUGGAAACUGGGCAGCUAGAGUGCAGGAGAGGUAAGUGGAAUUCGUGGUGUAGCGGUGAAAUGCGUAGAUAUUACGAGGAACACCAGUGGCGAAGGCGGCUUACUGGACUGUAACUGACGUUGAGGCUCGAAAGCGUGGGGAGCGAACAGGAUUAGAUACCCGAGUAGUC